CCUACGGGAGGCAGCAGUGAGGAAUAUUGGUCAAUGGACGAGAGUCUGAACCAGCCAAGUAGCGUGAAGGAUGACUGUCCUAUGGGUGGUAAACUUCUUUUAUAUGGGAAUAAAAUGUUCCACGUGUGGGAUUUUGUAUGUACCAUAUGAAUAAGGAUCGGCUAACUCCGUGCCAGCAGCCGCGGUAAUACGGAGGAUCCGAGCGUUAUCCGGAUUUAUUGGGUUUAAAGGGAGCGUAGGUAGGUUGGUAAGUCAGUUGUGAAAAUUUGCGGCUCAACCGUAAGAUUGCAGUUGAAACUGGCAGUCUUGAGUACGGUAGAGGUAAGCGGAAUUCGUGGUGUAGCGGUGAAAUGCUUAGAUAUCACGAAGAACUCCGAUUGCGAAGGCAGCUCACUGGACUGCAACUGACGCUGAGGCACGAAAGUGUGGGUAUCAAACAGGAUUAGAUACCCUUGUAGUC
rnacentral:rRNA from 1 species